GACGAACCGAGCGAACGUUGUUCGGAAUCACUGGGCUUAAAGGGCGCGUAGGCGGGUGCUCAAGUCCGUGGUGAAAUCCUCCGGCUCAACCGGAGAACUGCCUCGGAUACUGGGUGCCUCGAGGGUGGUAGGGGUAUGCGGAACUAUCGGUGGAGCGGUGAAAUGCGUUGAUAUCGAUAGGAACUCCGGUGGCGAAGGCGGCAUACUGGACCACCUCUGACGCUGAGGCGCGAAAGCCAGGGGAGCGAACGGG
rnacentral:rRNA from 1 species